rnacentral:rRNA from 1 species
CAGCAGCAGCCGCGGGAAUACGUAGGGUGCGAGCGUUAAUCGGAAUUACUGGGCGUAAAGCGUGCGCAGGCGGUUAUAUAAGACAGAUGUGAAAUCCCCGGGCUCAACCUGGGACCUGCAUUUGUGACUGUAUAGCUAGAGUACGGUAGAGGGGGAUGGAAUUCCGCGUGUAGCAGUGAGAUGCGUAGAUAUGCGGAGGAACACCGAUGGCGAAGGCAAUCCCCUGGACCUGUACUGACGCUCAUGCACGAAAGCGUGGGGAGCAAACAGGAUUAGAUACCCCAGUAGUCCCUGUCUCUUAUAA